UACGUAGGGGGCAAGCGUUGUCCGGAAUUAUUGGGCGUAAAGCGCGCGCAGGCGGUUGAUUAAGUUUGGUGUUUAAGCCCGGGGCUCAACCCCGGUUCGCACUGAAAACUGAUCGACUUGAGUGUAGGAGAGGAAAGUGGAAUUCCACGUGUAGCGGUGAAAUGCGUAGAGAUGUGGAGGAACACCAGUGGCGAAGGCGACUUUCUGGCCUAUAACUGACGCUGAGGCGGCGAAA
rnacentral:rRNA from 1 species